UAAAAUGGUUCAACAUUAUUCCUUUAGGGUUUAGAUAUUCAAAACACAGUCAAUUGAAUAUCUUGGAUUUAUCGGAGUAGAUGGUGUUGGUGGCGGAGAUGUUUUGUGAAAUGGCGGUGAUGAGAUCCAGCGACAACGGCGGUUUAGAUAUGAAGAUGAAUUGGAAGUUUUAAUUGGCACCCUUGGGUUCAAUAGUUAGUAUCCUUUUAGGGUUUAGUUUUAUUUAUUAAAAAUCAAGAGUUAUCGCCGGAAAAUUAGAUUGUGUUCAAAGAAGUACCGUAUGAAAAAAAAAAAAAAUUUCAGAGAAGCAUCGGCGUUGUCAAGAGAGAAAGCAAAAAAGUGACACAGAAGACAGAAUAAAAAUGUCAUUUUCAAUCUGUAAAAAAGCCUAAUUCUGAGAGUAUGGAUAGAAAUGGUCAUUUUGAAAGUUUUCCAGCCAACAAAUGCCCAUUUAGACAAUAACCCCUAAAACUUUAAUUUGUCAUUGAGAAGACUUGGUGAAUCCCUUAUCAAAAUCCCUAAGCAUUCUGCAAAAGAGAGGAGGAGGAGAAAUGAAGAAAAAGAUGAAAGCAAAUGGAUCUAAUAAACCUUCGUUAAGCUCUAUGAUGUCUUCUCUCUACGAUUCGAUCGACGAGUCGCAUCAACUCAUUUCUACUCGGACUAUGGAUGGAGGAGAGCUUAGUAUCACAGGUCUUUUGGCGAUCGGUGAGACAUUGAAGUCUAUAGAGCUUCAACUUCAAGCUAUCAGAGACUUAUUGCGUCAAAGGAAAGAAGCUAUUCCCA